rnacentral:rRNA from 1 species
CUACGGGGCGCACCAGUGAGGAAUAUUGCACAAUGGGGGGAACCCUGAUGCAGCAACGCCGCGUGGAGGAUGACGCAUUUCGGUGUGUAAACUCCUUUUAUAUGUCAAGAAAAUGACGGUAGCAUAUGAAUAAGCACCGGCUAACUCCGUGCCAGCAGCCGCGGUAAUACGGAGGGUGCAAGCGUUACUCGGAAUCACUGGGCGUAAAGGACGCGUAGGCGGGUUGGAAAGUCAGGUGUGGAAUCCUACAGCUUAACUGUGGAACUGCACUUGAAACUUCUAAUCUAGAGUAUGGGAGGGGGAGAUGGAAUUAGUGGUGUAGGGGUAAAAUCCGUAGAUAUCACUAGGAAUACCUAAAGCGAAGGCGAUCUCCUGGAACAUUACUGACGCUAAGGCGUGAAAGCGUGGGGAGCAAACAGGAUUAGAUACCCUCGUAGUC